ACCUGAUGUCCCCCUUUUUUUUUUAACUUCAGCUCUCCUCCUUGCUGCUUGACCCGACUGCACGUCUCACCUCAGGAGGAGAUUGUUGCUGCUGUUUUUAAUUAUUCGGGGUCCCCUGUUUCCCAUUUCAAGAGGUGUGGAUCUGCAAAUCCCUCCGCCCCACUUGUCAUGAAACUGAGCCAAACCAGCCUAUAAACAUUUGACAAAAAUGUAUGACUAAAAUAAAUAAAUAAAUAAAUAAAGCCUACAAGCAUUUUUACAUUUGUAUUUUCUGUAACUUUGUUCCUGAUGGUUUUUCUUCUGACUUGUAGAAUGUAUUUUUUUGUACAGCAACUUCUAAAUAAGGCUGCCAGAUUUGUUGUGAUAUAACAUAUAGAGUAAUGAGUAGAAACUUAUCUUGGACUAGUAUGAUA
rnacentral:lncRNA from 1 species